GGCGAACGCUGGCGGCGUGCCUAAUACAUGCAAGUCGAACGCAUUUUCUUUCACCGUAGCUUGCUACACCGAAAGAAAAUGAGUGGCGAACGGGUGAGUAACACGUGGGUAACCUGCCCAUCAGCGGGGGAUAACACUUGGAAACAGGUGCUAAUACCGCAUAAUUCCAUUUACCGCAUGGUAAAUGGAUGAAAGGCGCUUUUGCGUCACUGAUGGAUGGACCCGCGGUGCAUUAGCUAGUUGGUGGGGUAACGGCCUACCAAGGCUGCGAUGCAUAGCCGACCUGAGAGGGUGAUCGGCCACACUGGGACUGAGACACGGCCCAGACUCCUACGGGAGGCAGCAGUAGGGAAUCUUCGGCAAUGGACGCAAGUCUGACCGAGCAACGCCGCGUGAGUGAAGAAGGUUUUCGGAUCGUAAAACUCUGUUGUUAGAGAAGAACAAGGAUGAGAGUGGAAAGUUCAUCCCUUGACGGUAUCUAACCAGAAAGCCACGGCGAACUACGG
rnacentral:rRNA from 1 species